GACGAACGCUGGCGGCAUGCCUAAUACAUGCAAGUCGAGCGAACAGAUGAAGUGCUUGCACUUCUGACGUUAGCGGCGAACGGGUGAGUAACACGUAAGGAAUCUACCUAUAAGCGGGGGAUAACAUUCGGAAACGGGUGCUAAUACCGCAUAAUAUCUUCUUCCGCACGGAAGAAGAUUGAAAGACGGCUCUGCUGUCACUUAUAGAUGACCUUGCGGUGCAUUAGUUAGUUGGUGGGGUAACGGCCUACCAAGACGAUGAUGCAUAGCCGACCUGGGAGGGUGAUCGGCGACAUGGGUACUGAGACACGGCCCAAACGCCUACGGGAGGCGGCAGUAGGGAAUCUUCCGCGAUGGGCGAGAGCCUGACGGAGCAAUGCCGCGUGAGUGAAGAAGGACUUCGGGUCGUAAAACUCUGUUAUAAGAGAAGAACAAAUUGUAGAGUAACUGCUACAGUCUUGACGGUAUCUUAUCAGAAAGCCACGGCUAACUACGUGCCAGCCGCCGCAGUAA
rnacentral:rRNA from 1 species